GAUGAACGCUGGCGGCGUGCCUAACACAUGCAAGUCGAGCGGCAGCGAGGGGUGCUUGCUCCCUGCCGGCGAGCGGCGGACGGCUGAGUAACGCGUGGGAACGUUCCCCAAAGUGAGGAAUAACUGCCCGAAAGGGUAGCUAAUACCGCAUAUUAUCUUCGGAUCAAAGGAUUUAUCCGCUUUGGGCGCGGCUCGCGUCGGAUUAGUUAGUUGGUGAGGUAAUGGCUCACCAAGCCGACGAUCCGUAGCUGGUCUGAGAGGAUGACCAGCCAGACUGGAACUGAGACACGGUCGAGAAUCCUACGGGAGGCAGGAGUGAGGAAUCGAGCAAAAUGGGCGAAAGCCUGAUGGAGCAACGACGCGUGCAGGACGAAGGCAUGGGGGUUGUAAACUGCUUGUAUAAGUGAGGAAUAUGACGGUAACUUAUGAAUAAGGAACGGCUAACUACGUG
rnacentral:rRNA from 1 species